UCCAAUCAUAAGGCAGUUGGAGAGCGAAUUGGCGAAGUGUCGCGAAAUAAUAGACACUCAACGAAAAAUUAUGGAAGGAUUGGAUGCGGAUAUAGAAUGCCAACGACAAACCAUCGAAGAUUUGACGAACAAAUUGACAAAUCAACCAUCCAUUGCCGAUCCGUCUGUAAGCAGUUUCAGCUCGUCCAUCGAAACAAGGGACGUGUAAAACUUGGCUAUUGAGCGACUAAAGACAGAGAUAUACAGUUUAAGAAAGGAAAUCGAAAGGUUGACUGACCAUGUUGACGAGAAAGAGGCAAGGCGUCUGAGCCUACUGACUCGCAACGACAACCUUGUCAAAUCUGAAGCGAGACAGAAAGAAAAAGUCGUCAAGAUAUCCAACGAAUAUGACAGAUUCUAUCACCUCGCCGAUGAAAAAGU